rnacentral:piRNA from 1 species
UGCUUCAAGGAUCAAGGGAUAGCAGG